UCCCCUAGAGUGUGAUAGUGCUGGUCCUCAUACGAGGUGUGAAUAGUGUCGGUCCCCAUAAGGUGUGAAUAGUGCUGGUCCCCAUAGAGGUGUGAAUAGUGCUGGUCCCUAGAGGUGUGCUAAUAGUGCUGCGUCCCAUAGAGGUGUGACAUAGUGCUGGUCCCCAUCGAGGUUGACUAGUGCUGGUCCCCAUAGAGGUCUGAACCGUGCUGGUCCCCAUAGAGGUGUGCAAUAGUGCUGGUCCCCAUAGAGGUGUGAAUAGUGCUGGUCCCCAUAGAGGUGUGAAUAGGUGGGUCAGUGAUGUGCGGCCCCAUAGAGGUGUGAAUCGUGCUGGUCCCCCAUAGAGGUUGUGAAUAGUGCUGGUCCCCUAAGAGGUGUGAAUAGUGCUGGUCCCUAGAGUUGUGAAUAGUGCUGGUCCCCAUAGAGGUUGAACAGUGCUGGUCCCAUGAGGGUGAAAGCGCUCCUCGAGGUGCAUAACGGUCCCCAUAGAG
rnacentral:lncRNA from 1 species